UCUAGAGGCUUCCACAAUGGACGAAAGUCUGAUGGAGCGACGCCGCGUGCGGGAUGAAGGCCGUGAGGUUGUAAACCGCUGUCAGCAGGGAAGAAUGCCCGAAUGGCGAAUUCGGGAGGGACGGUACCUGCAGAGGAAGCCCCGGCUAACUCCGUGCCAGCAGCCGCGGUAAUACAGAGGGGGCAAGCGUUAUUCGGAAUUAUUGGGCGUAAAGGGCGCGUAGGCGGUGGUUUAAGUGAGAUGUGUAAUCCCCGAGCUUAACUUGGGAACUGCAUCUCAGACUGGAUCGCUAGAGUGCUGGAGAGGGUGGUGGAAUUCCACGUGUAGCGGUGAAAUGCGUAGAGAUGUGGAGGAACACCAGUGGCGAAGGCGGCCACCUGGACAGUAACUGACGCUGAGGCGCGAAAGUGUGGGGAGCAAACA
rnacentral:rRNA from 1 species